rnacentral:rRNA from 1 species
AGUGAACGCUGGCGGUAGGCCUGACACAUGCAAGUCGAACGGCAGCACAGUAAGAGCUUGCUCUUACGGGUGGCGAGUGGCGGACGGGUGAGGAAUACAUCGGAAUCUACUUUUUCGUGGGGGAUAACGUAGGGAAACUUACGCUAAUACCGCAUACGACCUACGGGUGAAAGCAGGGGAUCUUCGGACCUUGCGCGAUUGAAUGAGCCGAUGUCGGAUUAGCUAGUUGGCGGGGUAAAGGCCCACCAAGGCGACGAUCCGUAGCUGGUCUGAGAGGAUGAUCAGCCACACUGGAACUGAGACACGGUCCAGACUCCUACGGGAGGCAGCAGUGGGGAAUAUUGGACAAUGGGCGCAAGCCUGAUCCAGCCAUACCGCGUGGGUGAAGAAGGCCUUCGGGUUGUAAAGCCCUUUUGUUGGGAAAGAAAAGCAGCAGGUUAAUACCCCGCUGUUCUGACGGUACCCAAAGAAUAAGCACCGGCUAACUUCAUG